rnacentral:rRNA from 1 species
UGCAACUCGCCUACAUGAAGCCGGAGUUGCUAGUAAUCGCGAAUCAGCAUGUCGCGGUGAAUACGUUCCCGGGCCUUGUACACACCGCCCGUCACACCAUGAGAGUUGGUAACACCCGAAGUCCGUGAGGUAACCGUAAGGAGCCAGCGGCCGAAGGUGGGAUCGAUGAUUGGGGUGAAGUCGUAACAAGGUAGCCGUAGGAGAACCUGCGGCUGGAUCACCUCCUUUCUAGGGAG